UACGGAGGAUGCGAGCGUUAUCCGGAUUUAUUGGGUUUAAAGGGUGCGUAGGCGGGAUGCCAAGUCAGCGGUCAAAUACGGGGGCUCAACCUGCGUCCGCCGUUGAAACUGGGGAUCUAGAGUGUGCGAGAGGUAUGCGGAAUGCGUGGUGUAGCGGUGAAAUGCAUAGAUAUCACGCAGAACCCCGAUUGCGAAGGCAGCAUACCGGUGCACAACUGACGCUCAGGCACGAAAGCGUGGGUAUCGAACAGG
rnacentral:rRNA from 1 species